rnacentral:misc_RNA from 1 species
GAAAUGCGAUAAGUAGUGUGAAUUGCAGAAUUCAGUGAAUCAUCGAAUCUUUGAACGCACAUUGCGCCCCUCGGUAUUCCGUGUGUCAUGCCUGUUCGAGCGUCAUCUACACCCUCAAGCUCUGCUUGGUGUUGGGCGUCUGUCCCGCCUCCGCGCGCGGACUCGCCCCAAAUGCAUUGGCAGCGGUUCCUUGCCCCCCUCUUUGCGCAGCACAUUGCCAUUCGAGGCGGCGGCGGCCUGCGUCCAACCAGCUCAACCCCCCCGUCUUUGACCUCGGAUCAGGUAGGGAUACCCGCUGAACUUAAGC